AUGAACGCUGGCGGCGUGCCUAGUACAUGCAAGUCGAGCGAACAGACGAGGAGCUUACUCCUCUGACGUUAGCGGCGGACGGGUGAGUAACACGUGGAUAACCUACCUAUAAGACUGGGAUAACUUCGGGAAACCGGAGCUAAUACCGGAUAACAUGUUGAACCGCAUGGUUCAACAGUGAAAGACGGUCUUGCUGUCACUUAUAGAUGGAUCCGCGUCGCAUUAGCUAGUUGGUAAGGUAACGGCUUACCAAGGCAACGAUGCGUAGCCGACCUGAGAGGGUGAUCGGCCACACUGGAACUGAGACACGGUCCAGACUCCUACGGGAGGCAGCAGUAGGGAAUCUUCCGCAAUGGGCGAAAGCCUGACGGAGCAACGCCGCGUGAGUGAAGAAGGUCUUCGGAUCGUAAAACUCUGUUAUUAGGGAAGAACAAAUGUGUAAGUAACUAUGCACGUCUUGACGGUACCUAAUCAGAAAGCCACGGCUAACUACGUG
rnacentral:rRNA from 1 species